rnacentral:rRNA from 1 species
CGUGUCCAGGAACGAACCUGACGACGUCCUAAUACUGCAGUGACGUGAAUUUCGUACUCGAUCCGAAUGAGAGGGUAGCGACGGUGAGUUACGCGUGGGUUACUACCUCUAGCGGGGACAGCUAUGAAUCGAUAGCUAAUACGCAUACAUGCUACACAUGUUGAGUAUUUGAAGUACCAUCGUACACUAGGAGAUGGACCCGCGUUGUAUUAGCUAGUUGGUAGUGUAAUGGACUACCAAGGCGAUGAUACAUAGCCGACCUGAGAGGGUGAUCGGCCACAUUGGGACUGAGACACGGCCCAAACUCCUACGGGAGGCAGCAGUAGGGAAUCUUCGGCAAUGGACGAAAGUCUGACCGAGCAACGCCGCGUGAGUGAAGAAGGUUUUCGGAUCGUAAAACUCUGUUGUUAGAGAAGAACGUUGUGUAGAGUGGAAAAUUACACAAGUGACGGUAUCUAACCAGAAAGGGACGGCUAACUACGUGCCAGCAGCCGCGGUAAUACGUAGGUCCCGAGCGUUGUCCGGAUUUAUUGGGCGUAAAGCGAGCGCAGGUGGUUUAAUAAGUCUGAUGUAAAAGGCAGUGGCUCAACCAUUGUGUGCAUUGGAAACCGUUAGACUUGAGUGCAGUAGAGGAGAGUGGAAUUCCAUGUGUAGCGGUGAAAUGCGUAGAUAUAUGGAGGAACACCGGUGGCGAAAGCGGCUCUCUGGACUGUAACUGACACUGAGGCUCGAAAGCGUGGGUAGCAAACAGGAUUAGAUACCCUGGUAGUCCACGCCGUAAACGAUGAGUGCUAGUUGUUUGGGGCUAUCCAGCCCUAAGUGACGCAGCAAACGCAUUAAGCACUCCGCCUGGGGAGUACGACCGCAAGGUUGAAACUCAAAGGAAUUGACGGGGGCCCGCACAAGCGGUGGAGCAUGUGGUUUAAUUCGAAGCAACGCGAAGAACCUUACCAGGUCUUGACAUACCAGUGCUAUUCUUAGAGAUAAGAAGUUACUUCGGUACACUGGAUACAGGUGGUGCAUGGUUGUCGUCAGCUCGUGUCGUGAGAUGUUGGGUUAAGUCCCGCAACGAGCGCAACCCCUAUUGUUAGUUGCCAUCAUUAAGUUGGGCACUCUAGCGAGACUGCCGGUAAUAAACCGGAGGAAGGUGGGGAUGACGUCAAAUCAUCAUGCCCCUUAUGAC